UACAUAGGGAGCAAGCGUUGUCCGGAAUUAUUGGGCGUAAAGAGCUCGUAGGCGGUUUGUCGCGUCUGCCGUGAAAGUCCGGGGCUCAACUCCGGAUCUGCGGUGGGUACGGGCAGACUAGAGUGAUGUAGGGGAGAUUGGAAUUCCUGGUGUAGCGGUGAAAUGCGCAGAUAUCAGGAGGAACACCGAUGGCGAAGGCAGGUCUCUGGGCAUUAACUGACGCUGAGGAGCGAAAGCAUGGGGAGCGAACAGG
rnacentral:rRNA from 1 species